AGUGAACGCUGGCGGUAGGCCUAACACAUGCAAGUCGAACGGCAGCACAGUAAGAGCUUGCUCUUACGGGUGGCGAGUGGCGGACGGGUGAGGAAUACAUCGGAAUCUACUUUUUCGUGGGGGAUAACGUAGGGAAACUUACGCUAAUACCGCAUACGACCUACGGGUGAAAGCAGGGGAUCUUCGGACCUUGCGCGAUUGAAUGAGCCGAUGUCGGAUUAGCUAGUUGGCGGGGUAAAGGCCCACCAAGGCGACGAUCCGUAGCUGGUCUGAGAGGAUGAUAGGCCACACUGGAACUGAGACACGGUCCAGACUCCUACGGGAGGCAGCAGUGGGGAAUAUUGGACAAUGGGCGAAAGCAUGAUACAGCCAUACCGCGUGGGUGAAGAAGGCCUUCGGGUUGUAAAGCCCUUUUGUUGGGAAAGAAAAGCAGCAGGUUAAUACCCCGCUGUUCUGACGGUACCCAAAGAAUAAGCACCGGCUAACUUCGUG
rnacentral:rRNA from 1 species